rnacentral:rRNA from 1 species
UUUAUGGAGAGUUUGAUCCUGGCUCAGGAUGAACGCUGGCGGCGUGCCUAAUACAUGCAAGUCGAGCGAACGGAUGAGAAGCUUGCUUCUCUGAUGUUAGCGGCGGACGGGUGAGUAACACGUGGAUAACCUACCUAUAAGACUGGGAUAACUUCGGGAAACCG